UAGCUAGUUGGUGAGGUAAAGGCUUACCAAGGCGACGAUCUGUAGCGGGUCUGAGAGGAUGAUCCGCCACACUGGAACUGAGACACGGUCCAGACUCCUACGGGAGGCAGCAGUGGGGAAUUUUGGACAAUGGGGGCAACCCUGAUCCAGCCAUGCCGCGUGAGUGAAGAAGGCCUUCGGGUUGUAAAGCUCUUUCGGCCGGGAAGAAAUCGCAUGGGCCAAUACCCUGUGUGGAUGACGGUACCGGAAUAAGAAGCACCGGCUAACUACGUGCCAGCAGCCGCGGUAAUACGUAGGGUGCGAGCGUUAAUCGGAAUUACUGGGCGUAAAGCGUGCGCAGGCGGUUUUGUAAGACAGGCGUGAAAUCCCCGGGCUUAACCUGGGAACUGCGUUUGUGACUGCAAGGCUAGAGUACGGCAGAGGGGGUGGAAUUCCACGUGUAGCAGUGAAAUGCGUAGAGAUGUGGAGGAACACCAAUGGCGAAGGCAGCCCCCUGGGUCGAUACUGACGCUCAUGCACGAAAGCGUGGGUAGCAAACAGGAUUAGAUACCCUGGUAGUCCACGCCCUAAACUAUGUCAACUAGGUGUUGGGUGGGUAAAACCAUUUAGUACCGUAGCUAACGCGUGAAGUUGACCGCCUGGGGAGUACGGCCGCAAGGUUAAAACUCAAAGGAAUUGACGGGGACCCGCACAAGCGGUGGAUGAUGUGGAUUAAUUCGAUGCAACGCGAAAAACCUUACCUACCCUUGACAUGCCAGGAACUUGCCAGAGAUGGCUUGGUGCCCGAAAGGGAGCCUGGACACAGGUGCUGCAUGGCUGUCGUCAGCUCGUGUCGUGAGAUGUUGGGUUAAGUCCCGCAACGAGCGCAACCCUUGUCGUUAAUUGCCAUCAUUUAGUUGGGCACUUUAGCGAGACUGCCGGUGACAAACCGGAGGAAGGUGGGGAUGACGUCAAGUCCUCAUGGCCCUUAUGGGUAGGGCUUCACACGUCAUACAAUGGUCGGUACAAAGGGUUGCCAAGCCGCGAGGCGGAGCCAAUCCCAGAAAGCCGAUCGUAGUCCGGAUUGCAGGCUGCAACUCGCCUGCAUGAAGUCGGAAUCGCUAGUAAUCGUGGAUCAGCAUGUCACGGUGAAUACGUUCCCGGGUCUUGUACACACCGCCCGUCACACCAUGGGAGCGGGUUCCGCCAGAAGUAGGUAGCCUAACCGCAAGGGGGGCGCUUACCACGGCGGGGUUCGUGACUGGGGUGAAGUCGUAACAAGGUAGCCGUAGGGGAACCUGCGGCUG
rnacentral:rRNA from 1 species